AACGACUCUCGACAACGGAUAUCUCGGCUCUCGCAUCGAUGAAGAACGUAGCGAAAUGCGAUACUUGGUGUGAAUUGCAGAAUCCCGUGACCAUCGAGUCUUUGAACGCAAGUUGCGCCCGAAGCCAAUAGGCCGAGGGCACGUCUGCCUGGGUGUCACAC
rnacentral:rRNA from 1 species